rnacentral:rRNA from 1 species
UACGGAGGAUCCGAGCGUUAUCCGGAUUUAUUGGGUUUAAAGGGUGCGUAGGCGGCCUAUUAAGUCAGGGGUGAAAUACGGUGGCUCAACCAUCGCAGUGCCUUUGAUACUGAUGGGCUUGAAUCCAUUUGAAGUGGGCGGAAUAAGACAAGUAGCGGUGAAAUGCAUAGAUAUGUCUUAGAACUCCGAUUGCGAAGGCAGCUCACUAGCUGGUA